rnacentral:rRNA from 1 species
CGAACGGGUGAGUAACACGUGGGCAACCUGCCCAAAGAGGGGGAUAACACUUGGAAACAGGUGCUAAUACCGCAUAACCAUAGUUACCGCAUGGUAACUAUGUAAAAGGUGGCUAUGCUACCGCUUUUGGAUGGGCCCGCGGCGCAUUAGCUAGUUGGUGGGGUAAAGGCUUACCAAGGCAAUGAUGCGUAGCCGAACUGAGAGGUUGAUCGGCCACAUUGGGACUGAGACACGGCCCAAACUCCUACGGAAGGCAGCAG